rnacentral:rRNA from 1 species
UCCCAGACUCCUACAGGAGGCAGCAGUGAGGAAUAUUGGUCAAUGGGAGAGAUCCUGAACCAGCCAAGCCGCGUGAGGGAAGACGGCCCUAUGGGUUGUAAACCUCUUUUGUCGGAGAACAAAACCCGGGACGAGUCCCGGACUGCGUGUAUCCGAAGAAAAAGCAUCGGCUAACUCCGUGCCAGCAGCCGCGGUAAUACGGAGGAUGCGAGCGUUAUCCGGAUUUAUUGGGUUUAAAGGGUGCGUAGGCGGUCCGUUAAGUCAGCGGUAAAAUUGCGGGGCUCAACCCCGGCGAGCCGUUGAAACUGGGGGCCUUGAGUGGGCGAGAAGAAGGCGGAAUGCGUGGUGUAGCGGUGAAAUGCAUAGAUAUCACGCAGAACCCCGAUUGCGAAGGCAGCCUUCCGGCGCCCUACUGACGCUGAGGCACGAAAGUGCGGGGAUCGAACAGGAUUAGAUACCCCGGUACA